UGGAGCCCUGAGCGGGGCAGCGGCCCGUAGCACCCACGGAGGGGUGAUUCAAGGCGCGGCUCUGAGCGGCCUGGUCUGGUGGAAAGUGCCCCUGCCCAGAGCAGUGGGGUUGGAACUGGAUGGUCUUUAAGGGACUGAGAUGAAGCUCACUGGCCUGUCACUCUCCAGACCUUCCUUUGUGGUCCCCUUGAAGAUAGAAGAGAUGCUUGGUCUCAACCAGUCUCCAGGAACAUCUCCCAGUCAGCUUCCUAUUUCAAAGCUAAUUGAGACCAGGCUCAGAGUGACAUCAGCCAGCUCUCUCAGCAGUCAGGGACACAGCCUCUCAGGCCCUGGGAACUUAAGGUUGGCUCGUCGAGAGGUGAGAUGGAGUUUGUUGGCUGUGCUGAGAAGAAGGAGUUAGUGCUGUGAGGAGCUGCUCAUGAAAAUCACCAAGAAGGUAUGAAACCUUUGCAGCAAGAUGGCAACAAUUGGUGACCCCGACGUGAUCAAGGACCCAGGAUGGUGCGGGGUUCCCCCCGAAUGGCUGUGUGUGCGGCAGGACACAAGCUGUGUGACAGAAGUUGCAAAUGGUAUGGCCACAGCAGCAGGGGGUGCCUCAGCAAUAGCAUGGCCCCUGAGGAGUACGGGGGAAGGUUUGCUAAGUCAUUGCAACAUGAGCACUGGAACAACAGCAACAUGGAGCUCUGAGAGGCAGAGUCAGGGCUGCACGGACAACAUGUAAGAAAAGCCUUCUAAAACUGUAUAGUGGCCAUCUCCGCAGUAACCCGACGUGAUUGGGAGUAGGCUGCAGGGCGAGGUGCAGCCGGAGAUGGAGCCCAGCGUAGCAUUGAGAGCAGCAGGAGAAGCUGCCUGGUCCGGACCUGACAGAUUUUGACACCUGAGGUACAGGUGAGCCGCUGGGGACACAAUGAGAAAUAACAUAUAUUGCUUGAUAUACAUGGAAAGAAGUUAAGGAAAAACUGUGAGAUAUAAGAAGCCUUCUAAAAUUGUAUAGAGGCCAUCUCCACAGUAACCCAACGUGAUUGGGAGUGGGCUGCAGGGCAAGGUGCAGCUGGAGAUGGAGCCCAGUGUAGCAUUGAGAGCAGCAGGGGAAGCUGCCUGAUCUGGACCUGACAGAUUUUGACACCUGAGGUACAGGUGAGCCACUGGGGACACAAUGAGAAAUAACAUAUGGAGUGCUGAACAGAUUGUUUGUUUGAUAUAC